GCGGCUGUGGCGUAAUUGGUAAACGCGCGCGAUUGGAUAGGGGCCACGCGUGACCUCUAUCAAUCGCGUGGGGGAAACCCCGUGCGGGUUCGAGCCCCGUCAGCCGCACCA
rnacentral:tRNA from 1 species